rnacentral:rRNA from 1 species
GGGGAAUUAGGGUUCGAUUCCGGAGAGGGAGCCUGAGAAACGGCUACCACAUCUAAGGAAGGCAGCAGGCGCGCAAAUUACCCAAUCCUAAUACAGGGAGGUAGUGACAAGAAAUAACAAUACAGGACUUUUUGGUUUUGUAAUUGGAAUGAGUUAAGUAUAAACCCCUUUACAAGUAUCAAUUGGAGGGCAAGUCUGGUGCCAGCAGCCGCGGUAAUUCCAGCUCCAAUAGCGUAUAUUAAAGUUGUUGCAGUUAAAAAGCUCGUAGUUGGAUUUCUGUUAAUAAUUUAUAUAAAAUAUUUUGAUGAAUAUUUAUAAAAUAUUAACAUAAUUCAUAUUACUAUAUAUUUUAGUAUAUGAAAUUUUACUUUGAGAAAAUUAGAGUGCUUAAAGCAGGCAUAUGCCUUGAAUACUCCAGCAUGGAAUAAUAUUAAAGAUUUUUAUCUUUUUUAUUGGUUCUAAGAUAAGAAUAAUGAUAAU